rnacentral:lncRNA from 10 species
GGGGCUUUGCAGGAGACAUACGGAAGUGAUGUUACCUUGUUCACAAGUUGCCAGCCCAAAUCCAUGGACCAUUUCUUCCUUAGAGGGACUACACAGGUGGAUGAAUGAACAGCUAAAGGUAGCCUCAGACGUCUGCCACAUGGAGUUCAGACCAGAGCUGCUCAUCCCCUCACCCCACACCUUGCCAGAAAGCAGACUCAAACCAUCCAGUGAAGGAAUGAGAGGCUCCGGGCAUUUUUGGAGUAUCAUCUGAAGAGUCACACACAUCUGACAACUGUUGAUUACCUAGGAGGACAGACCUUGUCAGUAUCUUCUCUAUUUAGCCAAUUCUCAGACAGAUGGUGCAUGAGCCAGGUGAGUAUUCAGCAAUGAGCAGGGGAGCGGGAGGGACACGGAGGGUGUUAGAAUAGUCAUCUGGUGCAUCACCUAUGGCUGGUACAGAGGAUCUUACUGCUGUAGGAGAGCCACUAUCAUAUUUGACAAAUGCUCAAGGCAGAAAAUUGAUACUAUUUUUUUCCAGAGGGGAGGGAAUGUGUCAAAGACUAAGACAAGGAGUUAAACUCAGUAAAAGCUGCCCUGUAGGAGUUAGGAGAAGAUGCCGUGAUGAGGGAAAGAAGCCUCUCUUCCUUCCCCAUCCCAAAAAGACACAGACCCCGAGAAAGCACAGACAAAUAUACUGAGCACCUGUGGCUUCAGAGUCUCCUGCCUGGAGACUGGCCCUGCGUUCACAGUCUCACUGCUUAGAGGGACUCACCAUGUUGUCUCAUCCGCAGCUUAGAAAGCUGUUGUUAUUGAAAGGUGACAGCGUGCUGGCAGUCCUCACAGCCCUCGCUCGCUCUCGGCGCC